rnacentral:pre_miRNA from 1 species
AGAUUAUUUACAGAUGACCUCGAAAUGCGUGUAACUCGGGGUUCUUGCAACUCGGAAUACCUGAAAAUUCGAUUCUGAGUUGAAUUUUGGAUUAAAGAAUCUCGUCGAAUCCAUCUUAUCCCGUUUAUGAUACCAAGAAACGUUUUCUUGACGUGAUUCUUUACCCCCAAAAUUCAACUCACAAUCGAAUUUUCACGCAUUCCGAGUUGCAAGAACCCCGAGUUGCACGCAUUUCGAGGUCAUCUGUAAAGAAUCU